rnacentral:rRNA from 1 species
CACGGGUGCGUAACGCGUAUGCAACCUGCCCCCAUCAGGGGGAAGUAGCCCGCCGAAAGGCGGAUUAAUGCCCCAUAGGCCCAGGGCGCCGCAUGGCGCUAUGGGUAAAGCUCCGGCGGAUGGGGAUGGGCAUGCGUGCCAUUAGCUAGUUGGGGCGGUAACGGCGCACCAAGGCGACGAUGGCUAGGGGGUCGUGAGAGGAUGGUCCCCCACACUGGUACUGAGACACGGACCAGACUCCUACGGGAGGCAGCAGUGAGGAAUAUUGGUCAAUGGGCGGAAGCCUGAACCAGCCAUGCCGCGUGCAGGAUGACGGCCCUACGGGUUGUAAACUGCCUUUCCCCGGGAAGAAUAAGCCCCUCGUGAGGGGUGAUGCCGGUACCGGGGGAAUAAGGAUCGGCUAACUCCGUGCCAGCAGCCGC